AUACAAACUAAAAAAC
rnacentral:sRNA from 1 species